rnacentral:rRNA from 1 species
UACGUAGGGCGCAAGCGUUGUCCGGAAUUAUUGGGCGUAAAGAGCUCGUAGGCGGCCUGUUGCGUCCGCUGUGAAAUCCCGGGGCUUAACCCCGGGCUUGCAGUGGAUACGGGCAGGCUGGAGGCAGGCAGGGGAGAACGGAAUUCCCGGUGUAGCGGUGAAAUGCGCAGAUAUCAGGAGGAACACCGGUGGCGAAGGCGGGUCUCUGGGCAGUAACUGACGCUGAGGAGCGAAAGCGUGGGGAGCGAACAGG